GACGAACGCUGGCGGCGUGCUUAACACAUGCAAGUCGAACGGAAAGGCCCUGCUCUUGUGGGAUGCUCGAGUGGCGAAAGGGUGAGUAACACGUGAGUAACCUGCCCUUGACUUUGGGAUAACAUCAGGAAACUCGGGCUAAUACCGGAUAUGAGCUCCUGCUGCAUGGUGGGGGUUGGAAAGUUUCGGAGGUUGGGGAUGGACUCGCGGCUUAUCAGCUUGUUGGUGGGGUAGUGGCUUACCAAGGCUUUGACGGGUAGCCGGCCUGAGAGGGUGACCGGCCACAUUGGGACUGAGGAGCGGCCCAGACUCCUACUGGAGGCAUCGGUGGAAAUUAUUGCACAAUGGGCGGAGGCAUGAAGCAGCAACGCCGCGUGCGGGAUGACGGCCUUCGGGUUAUAACCCGCUUUCGCCUGUAACGAAGCGUGAGUGACGGUAAUGAGUAAAGAAGCACCGGCUAACUACGUG
rnacentral:rRNA from 1 species